UUAUUGGAAGAAUUUGCUAUAUAUCUCCUUACAACCACACUGCGUUGUACUACUCAUCUCCUCAGGGUUCUCAAGGCUAGCUACUUCACAGUUUUUGGGUCCCUUAAGUAGAAUUUUCCAUGUUUCGCACAAACCCUAGUUGUUAAUUUCUUUAUAUUUUUGUUCUUAAGUUAAUUACUUUGGGAUUUGAAGAGUUUAGAGCUCGUUUGAUAACCAUUUCAGUUUUCAGGUUUUCAGACUUGAAGAGUUUAGUGUGCGAAAUGGAUAAUUUGUAUAGUAUGAUUUGUGAGAAUAAUGGAGUUGUAAGGGCAAAUAAGAGAGGGUAUGUUGCAGCUGAAGACAAAAAGCUGGAGCUGAGGCUGGGUCCUCCUGGAGGAGAAGAUCAUCAGUCACUUCUUUCCCUUGGUUGCUGCAACAAGAACAAUAUUUCUCAUGAAGCCAAAAGAGUCUGUCAUGAAGAGAAAAAAGAAGAGAGAAAGUGGCUGGCAAACAGCUCAUCAGAUCCUCCAGCAAGUGCUUUUGAGCUUACAAAUUCAACAGCAGCUCGUGACUCUGAUCAGAAAAGUAAAAGCAGAAUUGCACAAGCUCCAGUUGUCGGAUGGCCUCCGAUCCGUUCAUCCAGGAAAAAUCUUGCAAUCAGAUCAUCACCAUCAAGCUUCGCAAAGCCGGCAGCUGAUUCGGAGUCACCAAAUGAAACUUUGAAGGAGGGAAACGGAAAAUCUGAUAGUACUACUUAUUCCAAGGACCACAUGUUUGUAAAGAUCAACAUGGAAGGAGUUCCCAUUGGAAGAAAAAUUAACCUCAAAGCCUAUGAUAGUUAUGAGAAACUCUCUUUUGCCAUAGAUGAACUCUUCCAAGGUCUUCUUGCAGCUCAAAGAACUUGUUGUGGUGUGGAGAAAGAAGACAAGAAGGGAGAGACCAAAUCAAUAACUGAAUCAUUACAUGGCAAUGGGAAAUAUACUCUACUUUAUGAGGAUAAUGAAGGAGACAGGAUGCUUGUUGGUGAUGUCCCAUGGAAGUAAGCAGUCCAAUACCAACUUUACUAAAUAAAAUUGCAUGUUUGUAUCGACGGCAAAGAGGCUUCAGGUAUUGAAGAGCUCACAGCUUUCCACUCUACAGCUUAGUAGCAAUCAGCGUGAAAAGACACCACUUGAUUCUACAAUGGAAGUUGGAAUUGGAAGAUGAGGCUAUAAUAAGUGGAGGAAUUCCCAUACAUGCGAUGACACGAAGCUCUACAUAAUUUAGGGUUUCCAUCAAGUUUUCUUUUCUUUUUUUCCUCUCUUUAAUGGCCUAAUUAAAUCUUGUAUAUUAAGGGUGUUAAAGAUCACUUUCAUUUUCUGUUUUCUGUAUCUCCUUUUCUUGUUCAAAUGUUCAGGUUUACACCCUUUUGGGGCUUUUGUAAAAAGAAUUGUUCCCAAGUCAUAAUACGUUUGUCACUUAGUACUACAGUCUAAUGGUAUUUUUCUUCAUUUAUA